GUGGGGAAUAUUGGACAAUGGGCGAAAGCCUGAUCCAGCCAUGCCGCGUGUGUGAAGAAGGUCUUCGGAUUGUAAAGCACUUUAAGUUGGGAGGAAGGGCAGUAAGUUAAUACCUUGCUGUUUUGACGUUACCAACAGAAUAAGCACCGGCUAACUUCGUGCCAGCAGCCGCGGUAAUACGAAGGGUGCAAGCGUUAAUCGGAAUUACUGGGCGUCAAGCGCGCGUAGGUGGUUCAGCAAGUUGAAGGUGAAAUCCCCGGGCUCAACCUGGGAACUGCCUCCAAAACUACUGAGCUAGAGUACGGUAGAGGGUAGUGGAAUUUCCUGUGUAGCGGUGAAAUGCGUAGAUAUAGGAAGGAACACCAGUGGCGAAGGCGACUACCUGGACUGAUACUGACACUGAGGUGCGAAAGCGUGGGGAGCAAACAGGAUUAGAUACCCCUGUAGUCC
rnacentral:rRNA from 1 species